GCAAGGACAACUUACUCGCUAAAACCAAAAAUUAAUCAGAUGGAUAGAAAGCCCUCGACUUUGGGAACGUGGGGACACCAACUGAUCGACAAUGCAACAGUGAAAUGACGAUACAGGGUAGAGAGAAGGUAGAGAAGAGAAGAAAGAGCUUUGAAGAGUGAUGGUAGCUUUUCAGAUAAUUGGGAUGAGCUUUGAGUCUACGU
rnacentral:lncRNA from 1 species